ensembl:lncRNA
CUGCCCUCUGGGACUCAGGGAAUGUUAAGGAGGCUGCAGUCUAUUCCUUACAAACUAGAAAUGGGGGACAGGAAGGCUUCCAUGCCCAGGAACCCCACAGGAUCCUGCUCAGUUUCACUCUCCUGGUUUCUAGAGAGGGGAUCUCACCAGUGGGAAAAUGGGAGACUGAUGAGCCAUCUGAGCCUUCCUUGCCCAGUGCUCCGAAGGAAGAAAGACAUUGUUCAGCAAAUCAAACAGGACUGAAACUUAUCCCAGAGCUUCCCCAGUGGCUCAGCGGUAAAGAACCCACCUGCAAUACAGGAGACACAGGAGACCCGGGUUCAAUCCCUGGGUCAGGAAGAUCCCCUGGAGGAGGACAUGGUAACCCACUCCAGUAUGCUUGCCUGGAGAAUCCCAUGGACAGAGGAGGCUGGCGGGCUACCGUCCACAGGAUCACAAAGAGUCGGAUGAAACUGAGCUGCACACAUGUAUACAGUUGUUUUGCUUUCCUUUUUAUCUGCAAUUAUUUCCCUGUUAUCUUGUUUUAAAUAUUUACAUUUGUG